rnacentral:tRNA from 1 species
GCCUGGGUGGCUCAGUUGGUUAAAGCAUCUGACUUCAAUUCAAGUCAUGAUCUCAUGGUUUGUGAGUUCAAGUCCCGCUUCGGGUG